rnacentral:rRNA from 1 species
UUAGCCCAAGAGAUCGGGAUAACACCUGGAAACAGAUGCUAAUACCGGAUAACAACAGAUGAUGCCUAUCAACUGUUUAAAAGAUGGUUCUGCUAUCACUCUUGGAUGGACCUGCGGUGCAUUAGCUAGUUGGUAGGGUAACGGCCUACCAAGGCGAUGAUGCAUAGCCGAGUUGAGAGACUGAUCGGCCACAUUGGGACUGAGACACGGCCCAAACUCCUACGGGAGGCAGCAG